GACGAACGCUGGCGGCGUGCCUAAUACAUGCAAGUCGAACGCUGAAGAGAGGAGCUUGCUCUUCUUGGAUGAGUUGCGCACGGGUGAGUAACGCGUAGGUAACCUGCCUUGUAGCGGGGGAUAACUAUUGGAAACGAUAGCUAAUACCGCAUAACAAUGGAUGACACAUGUCAUUUAUUUGAAAGGGGCAAUUGUUCCACUACAAGAUGGACCUGCGUUGUAUUAGCUAGUAGGUGAGGUAAUGGCUCACCUAGGCGACGAUACAUAGCCGACCUGAGAGGGUGAUCGGCCACACUGGGACUGAGACACGGCCCAGACUCCUACGGGAGGCAGCAGUAGGGAAUCUUCGGCAAUGGGGGCAACACUGACCGAGCAACGCCGCGUGAGUGAAGAAGGUUUUCGGAUCGUAAAGCUCGGUUGUAAGUCAAGAACGGGUGUGAGAGUGGAAAGUUCACACUGUGACGGUAGCUGACCAGAAAGGGACGGCUAACUACGUG
rnacentral:rRNA from 1 species